GGACAAUCUGCAGUCCUAAUAAGGCAGAAACGACUGGUGAUAGAGAACACCUAUAAAAGCUUA
rnacentral:ncRNA from 1 species